rnacentral:rRNA from 1 species
CAGCCGUAAACAAUGUGCGUUAGGUGUGUCGGUAACCACGUGUUACUGAUGCGCCGAAGAGAAAUCGUGAAACGCACCACCUGGGAAGUACGGUCGCAAGGCUGAAACUUAAAGGAAUUGGCGGGGGAGCACCACAGCAGGUGGAGCCUGCGGUUUAAUUGGAUUCAACGCCGGACAUCUCACCGGAUAAGACAGCUGAAUGAUUGUCAAUCUGAAGGUUUUACAUGACUAGCUGAGAGGUGGUGCAUGGCGUCAGUGACU